UAUGUGCACUUUCUUCCAGGAUUUGAAAUUCCUGAUGGAGAUGCAGAAAAGCUAAUGUGUCCACAAGAGAUUGUAGAUUACAUUGCAGAUAAGAAGGAUGUUUAUGAAUAAAAACAGUUCUUCAAAGCCGGGAGAUGUCUCUACCACCAGGACUGGGCUGGUGUCAGUGGGUAUGAAUAUAAGCGCACAUGCUGUACCGUUGCUGCUUUCAUCGGAAAGUUGUACUUGGACGUUGUAUUUAAAGCUGUCUGAAUAUGUUGUCCUUCAAAAACAAGAAAAAAAAGGAAUAAAUAUAUAAGACCACGU